UAAACCCUGCUGGGUCGUGUGUCGUUUAUUUAAUUCCGCAAAGUAAUUAAUGGGAGCUUAGCCUCUUUGCUCAGGAUUGCAGACCUCCUGGUUUACCAGAUGAAGGAAGCGUGAAGUUCAAAGGAGAGCACCCACCUGUCAUAGACGGGUUUUAAGUGACGGCAUGCGACCAAACAGGGUUUAA
rnacentral:other from 1 species